CAGCGAACAGUCAGACCUGCAACUGUCACUUUGCUACUCCUAUUUUUAACUAGUACACGUGUGUGUGUGUGUGUGUGUGUGUGUGUGUGUGUGUGUGUUUCCACCCCACCCCAGAAAACAACUUCCUCAUUCACACUUUCUUCCCGUGAGAAAUACACAUUGAGAGUAACUUGACGCUGUGUCACCGUAGUGUCUCUUCCCCACAAUGUCUUCACCGGUUCCUUCUCUGCUGCUCUCUCUGCUCAUCCUUCUCAACAAAACCCUGUCAAAGGCCCAUCUGACAGUGAAUCAUACAGACGUCUCUAUCGCUGACUCUGUGACCCUUCGGUGUGAAGGAGCUCAGCCUGAGUCCCUCUCUGGAUCUCACUGCUAUUUCUUCGCCAGCAAUAAAAGCCUGAACGAGGUUCCUUUAGAGUGUCGGAGCUCAUUCACUGGAGAUCAGCUGAUCGGCGGGAGUCUCGGUGCAGCCAAACAGGUGGACCUGCAGUGCUCCUUCGCUCUCGGGAGUCACCCGUCCCAACUCAGCGCUCCGGUCUCAGUCACGGUGCACGCUCUUAUGAAGCCCAGCAUCUCAGUCAGCACGAGUGAGUCACAGGUACAGAUUCUCUGUGAAGCUCCUUCGCGCAUCACUGCCGCCGAGUUGCUCUUCUUCCUGUACGACGAGGGAAAUAAUCAAAUUGAUGUGAAAAAAGCUGCAGCAGCAGAGCGAUCAGCCACAUUCCGCGUUGUUUACAACGCCUCCGGUGUACAAUACUGCUGUUCCUACCAGUACAAACGGAUCAACUCUCCGCUCAGCGACUGUGUCGGAGAAGAGCAAACGCAACCAGGAGGGACACAAAUUGCGGUGGGCGUGGCUACUGCGGUGGGCGUGGCCCUGCUUGCAGUGACAGCUGUGUGCCAGUGUGUGAGACGCAGAAAAGCUGCGCCAGCCAGCCGCAGGGCUGCCGGGGCACCCAGCAAAGACCCCGCACAGGCUGCUGCAGGUUCAAGAGGACAGGGGACACAUGGAGAUGAUGAUGGGAUGAGUGCCACCAGUCGCCACAGCAUUCCCGCUCUGCCGCCCCCUUGUGAUCUGACCUACUCGGCUAUCCGUCAUCAAGACUCCGCCUCCAAACAGCCAGCGCAGCGCAUCGAGGACGUCGUCGUGUACAGCAGUGUGAACACGCACUGAUUUGGAAAGAGCGAGAGUGAGGAAGAGCCCUGUGUAACGCAGAGAACCUUCUGCCAUAUUCAGUGAUGAUGUCGUGUGUAUCGGGCCAUCAGUAAACGGAGAACUUUUACCGCGGGAAACGACGAGUGGCAGAGCAUUGCAGACCCAACACGCACCAUACAGCGGUUCAUGACUGAACCAGCGUGUGACUGAAACAGCCCUCUGUCUGUCGGCUGCACGAUGCGAGUGUGACCUCCUGCUGGUGGGCAACGCAGCAGCUGAACAGGUUAACGGAAGUGUUUCUGCGCAGUGACCGCUGUCGUACUGCGGUAAAGACUAGACAUCUUCGUUGAAGAGCUGAGUGUGGUGUAAGUGAUUCUAUGCGCUGAAUAAAGUGCCUCUGAAAUCACA
rnacentral:lncRNA from 1 species